rnacentral:lncRNA from 1 species
CAGCCUGAGUUUAAAAAAAAAAUUUGCUGCUCAUGUUCUCUGCUAGGGUUUCAACGCUAGUUUCACGAGGCCGAAAGCUCCGCCGAUCUUCGGCCUUACAGCCCUUGCCCGAACUUUGACUGUGACGAAGCGAACAAGGAUCCAAUCGGCGCUAACACUGAGGUAAAUCCCUUCCCUCUUCUUUAUUUUUAUUUUACAAACAUUAACAAUAAUAAACGAACAUCGAAGAAACAGAAAAGAAAAAAGAAAUCAAAAAGAAAAAAAAUCAGAUUUCAAAUCACCUCACAAAAAUUUAAUUGCUUUCUGAUUUCUUUGGUAUCUUUUUUUUACUUAUUUCGUAUUGUUCGCGUAAAAAACUUACGAAGGUCUUUUCUUCUAUUUUAUAGCCAAAAUCUAAAAUAUAUAUAUAAUAUAUGUUUUUUUCUGUGCUAUUUUUUCGUCCUAUUUGCAGGUAUGAAGACCAGCUGGCAGUGUACGGAGGCGGUGGUGCAGCACGCGCUUGGCUGAGGCGACUAGAGGCAUGCGGCGGCUGGGUCUGCUGGGGUUUAAUUUGGGCCUGGGAUUGGGUUUGAUUUAAUGGGUUUGAUUUUUGGGCCGUAAAUGGGCUUUUUAAUAUUAGACUUUUAUUUUUUAUUUGGAUUAUUAUUAUUUUUUGUGUAUGUGGGUCGGGGCAGAAAUUGGGCUCUACAAAUUUCAUUUCUGCAUUAAUCUGAAAAUUAAUUAUGUGAAAUAUCGAGUCUCUGACGUUGAUCCUGUAAGUACUUCUGACUUAGAUAAACUUUAGUUUUAGAAAACUCUAAAAUUAUUAGAACUGUACUUGGAUAGUUAGAGACUGAAACAUCUCUAUAAAUUCUUUUGAUAACUUUUUGAGUAUAAAAUGUUUGCUAAUAAAUACUAAAAUUGAUACAUAAAAUUCGUAAUAUAGGUAAUAUAUACGAUGAGUACUCGUGGAACACAUGGACGUGGUAACCGUAGGCAUGGCGGGCGCCGAAGAGAGGCUCGAGCUGAGUCAUCCUCGAUGGGUACCUGAUAGGCUAUUGUUGGAGAGAGCAAUAGUCUUGAGAGAAGAAAUUUUGAAGAUCAAAGUCAAAAUCUGACAUGUAAGGCCUUUAAUUGCUUGAAUAAUAAGCAUUUCCAAACUAAAAGGAUUACGAUUUCUUCAAGAAUUUGACCUGCAGACAUAGUUGAAACAUCAAGGUGUUAAAUUACCUAUUUUGUUAGUGUAAAUCAAAGAGGCUUUUUAUUUUUUUUUUCGUUGUG